rnacentral:rRNA from 1 species
CACGUAGGGCGCGAGCGUUGUCCGGAAUUAUUGGGCGUAAAGAGCUCGUAGGCGGCCUGUUGCGUCCGCUGUGAAAGCCCGGGGCUUAACCCCGGGUCGGCAGUGGAUACGGGCAGGCUAGAGGUAGGUAGGGGAGAAUGGAAUUCCCGGUGUAGCGGUGAAAUGCGCAGAUAUCGGGAGGAACACCGGUGGCGAAGGCGGUUCUCUGGGCCUUACCUGACGCUGAGGAGCGAAAGCGUGGGGAGCGAGCAGG